AGAGUUUGAUCCUGGCUCAGAAUGAACGUUAGCGGCAUGGAUCAGGCAUGCAAGUCGAGCGAGAAGUUUUAGAUUGACGCUUCGGUUGAUUUCUAAGAUGGACAGCGGCGUAAGGGAGAGUAAUGCAUAGUUACGUACCCCGGGGUUCGGAAUAGCUGUGGGAAACUGCAGGUAAUGCCGAAUAACAUCUCCGGAUCAAAGGUGUGAUUCCGCCCUGGGAGCGGACUAUGUUGUACUAGCUUGUUGGUGGGGUAAUGGCCUACCAAGGCGACGAUGCAUAGCGGGCGUGAGAGCGUGGCCCGCCUCACUGGGACUGAGACACUGCCCAGACACCUACGGGUGGCUGCAGUCGAGAAUCUUCGGCAAUGGACGAAAGUCUGACCGAGCGAUGCCGCGUGCGGGAUGAAGGCCCUCGGGUUGUAAACCGCUGUCAGUUGGGAGGAAGGCUCCGUGAAGAGCGGAGCUUGACCUAUCUUCAGAG
rnacentral:rRNA from 1 species